UCCUACAAUUUUCGACUAUCGCUUGACAUUUACAAGUUACGCAAUCAAAGGCGGGACGAGUUUUGAAAUUAGACGAGUAUUUAAAAAAAUCAUUAAACUCGAUUUUUUUUAUACAACUUAGAAUGGCAAACAAGCUGACGGCCCCCCUGAUGGAAAGUGGUAACCGUCGCCUAUAGACAUAAACAGUACCAUGAACAUAACAGAGUAUACUGUUUCACCCAUGAUACCCCCCAUGCGUUGCCAUUCCUGAGGACUCAGGUGUUAUUCCUCUGUACCCUGUAAAUUCACGCCAUAUUCCACCCUUCAAACCGAAACACAGCCAUGCAAACACAACUGUUUUACGGUUGAAACACGAAUGGGACAGAGGUAUCCAAGCAAACGACUUUUGUACAAAGUCUCGAUCCGGUUCUUAUUAUAAUUAAAAUUAAUAUACAUAUGUUAAGUAAUUCUUUGUUUUUCAAAUAAUAUCAAAAUGUAUUCUAAUUAUGCUCUAAAAACGAUAUAAACCUUUGUGUAAAAGUGACGCGACAUUCUUUUCAGUCAGACCAGUGUUGAUGGCAAUUUGCUAUAUAAAGAACUUAUACAUACCAAAAGAAGACAGUCUAAAUCAGGGUCGGACAAGGCCGGAAGACUAGAUAAUGGUAGUUGAACCAGUUGGUAUCGGCACCGCAAGCCCCGCAAGCCGAGCCGUGGGGGCCCCACGUAGGGCCUCGACUAUAUGACCAGCCCGACGCUGGUCUCAAUUUAAUAUUUACUGUCUUAAAAAAUCAACGCUAUGUUGUGCAGCCAUAUAGAAAUUUGACGAUCACUGUAAAUACUUUAAGCUUGUACAGAACGUAAUCCGCCGCAAAAGUUAUACAAGCCGUGUGAUGGAAAGUAUUUAAAAAUUUGAAUAGGUGCACUACCAUACGAGGUUUUGCCUUCAGGGAAAGGCAAGAAAAACUUAAUUUUGGUUGACGGUAAUACAUUUUCGGUGCAAGGUCAAAACUUGUAUAUUUACUACUGCUCUAGAAAGUCCAGCAUUGGAUGUAAAGCAAAAGUUAGGUUAAACAAAAACCAGUUAAUUUAUAAUGCAGACUUGGUUCAUAACCACGAACCGCCGAUAUUACACCGAACCAGUUGUGGGACAGUUUUAAAAUUAACAACAAGGCGAAAACACUAAUUUUAUUAUUAUGAUUACUAACUUAAAACAGUUCUAUGAUUUAUGGUUUUGUUGACCGACUUCAUAAAGAAGGAGGUUCUCAUACAUAUCGACCCCCACGAGAAAGACCCCACGAAAAAGGAGCCCCAUUCAAUGCACCAUUCUUCGAUUAAUUCCUAAUGGAAGGUUAGAAGUAUUUGCCAAUAGUAAUAGUUGCCUAAUGGUGCAUACUAACUAUUGCAUAAUUAAUGCAAUGGAAGGGAAUUAAAAUGAGCAACUGCCUUAUUGAGAUAUUACUUUAUUAAUAUUUUUAAUUGUAUUAUUAAAUUUUUUUGUUAUUGUAUUUUUUUUUUAUAUAUGGAUUUAGUUGUACACAAUAAUUUAAGCCAUUUAUGUAUUUGUAUAUUUCGAAAUUUAAUUAGAAUUAGAACUAGGUAAUAUAAUAAUAAUUUUGACAAAUUACGUACCAUUUUAACGGAUCUACAAAGAUUGGUGCGACUAGACCAGCAUUUGUACUAGAUGGACUCAGUUGAAGGAAACCUUUGCCCAGCACUGGGCUAUCAUAGGCUAUGAUUGAUUAAUUGAUGUACCACUUAUACUUAAUUUAAUUAACAAAUGUUGAAAGCGUAAU